UACGUAGGUGGCGAGCGUUGUCCGGAUUUACUGGGCGUAAAGAGCGCGCAGGCGGUCGUACAAGUCGCGUGUGAAAGCCCCCGGCUCAACUGGGGAAGGUCAUUCGAUACUGUUCGGCUCGAAGAUAGGAGAGGGAAGCGGAAUUUCAGGUGUAGUGGUGAAAUGCGUAGAUAUCUGAAGGAACACCAGUGGCGAAGGCGGCUUUCUGGCCUAUUCUUGACGCUGAGGCGCGAAAGCUAGGGGAGCGAACGGG
rnacentral:rRNA from 1 species